GACGAACGCUGGCGGCGUGCUUAACACAUGCAAGUCGAACGGUAAGGCCCUUCGUGGUACACGAGUGGCGAACGGGUGAGUAACACGUGGGUGAUCUGCCCUGCACUUCGGGAUAAGCCUGGGAAACUGGGUCUAAUACCGGAUAGGACUCCGGGCUGCAUGGUCUGGGGUGGAAAGCUUUUGCGGUGUGGGAUGGGCCCGCGGCCUAUCAGCUUGUUGGUGGGUGAUGGCCUACCAAGGCGACGACGGGUAGCCGGCCUGAGAGGGUGACCGGCCACACUGGGACUGAGAUACGGCCCAGACUCCUACGGGAGGCAGCAGUGGGGAAUAUUGCACAAUGGGCGCAAGCCUGAUGCAGCGACGCCGCGUGAGGGAUGACGGCCUUCGGGUUGUAAACCUCUUUCAGCAUCGACGAAGCGAAAGUGACGGUAGGUGCAGAAGAAGGACCGGCCAACUACGUGCCAGCAGCCGCCGUAACAC
rnacentral:rRNA from 1 species